rnacentral:rRNA from 1 species
UACGUAGGGGGCAAGCGUUGUCCGGAAUCAUUGGGCGUAAAGCGCGUGUAGGCGGCCCGGUAAGUCCGCUGUGAAAGUCGGGGGCUCAACCCUCGAAUGCCGGUGGAUACUGUCGGGCUAGAGUGCGGAAGAGGCGAGUGGAAUUCCUGGUGUAGCGGUGAAAUGCGCAGAUAUCAGGAGGAACACCAAUUGCGAAGGCAGCUCGCUGGGACGUGACUGACACUGAGACGCGAAGGCGUGGGGAGCGAACGGG